rnacentral:rRNA from 1 species
GGGGGGGUUACUGGGCAGUCGACGAGAACCAUUGGAUCGAGGAUUCGUCCAAGUGAAGGUGGGGAAAGUGGCGGACGCGUGAGUAACGCGUGAGCAAUCUGCCUUGGAGUGGGGAAUAACGGCUGGAAACAGCCGCUAAUACCGCAUGAUACAGCUGGGAGGCAUCUCCCUGGCUGUCAAAGAUUUAUCGCUCUGAGAUGAGCUCGCGUCUGAUUAGCUAGUUGGCGGGGUAACGGCCCACCAAGGCGACGAUCAGUAGCCGGACUGAGAGGUUGGCCGGCCACAUUGGGACUGAGACACGGCCCAGACUCCUACGGGAGGCAGCAGUGGGGAAUAUUGGGCAAUGGGCGCAAGCCUGACCCAGCAACGCCGCGUGAAGGAAGAAGGCUUUCGGGUUGUAAACUUCUUUUGUCAGGGACGAAGCAAGUGACGGUACCUGACGAAUAAGCCACGGCUAACUACGUGCCAGCAGCCGCGGUAAUACGUAGGUGGCAAGCGUUAUCCGGAUUUAUUGGGUGUAAAGGGCGUGUAGGCGGGAAUGCAAGUCAGAUGUGAAAACUAUGGGCUCAACCCAUAGCCUGCAUUUGAAACUGUAUUUCUUGAGUGCUGGAGAGGCAAUCGGAAUUCCGUGUGUAGCGGUGAAGUGCGUAGAUAUACGGAGGAACACCAGUGGCGAAGGCGGAUUGCUGGACAGUAACUGACGCCGAGGCGCGAAAGCGUGGGGAGCAAACAGGAUUAGAUGCCCUGGUA